rnacentral:rRNA from 1 species
UACGUAGGGGGCAAGCGUUAUCCAGAUUUACUGGGUGUAAAGGGGGCGCAGACGGCAGCGCAAGCCAGGAGUGAAAGCCCGGGGCCCAACCCCGGGACUGCUCUUGGAACUGCGCGGCUGGAGUGCAGGAGGGGCAGGCGGAAUUCCUGGUGUAGCGGUGAAAUGCGUAGAUAUCAGGAGGAACACCGGUGGCGAAGGCGGCCUGCUGGACUGCGACUGACGUUGAGGCCCGAAAGCGUGGGGAGCAAACAGG